ensembl:lncRNA
GCAUUUUUAUGUGCAGCCUUUAGUUUGAUCUCCUGGACACAGAUUUGAGGGAGGAGGAGGAGGAGGAGGACGUGAUGCUGACGGCUGUGAUCCAGAGGAUGGAGCUCCUGACACAGACGGACAAACAGUCGGACAAAUGCAGCAGGUUUAAACCUCUUCAGAUGUUCAAGAAAUCCAGCCGUAAGACUGAAAACACCAGCAGAAGAAAAACAGCUGAAGAACAGAGAGAGGCUGUAGACGUUUAUUAGACGAUGAAAAAGUAAAAACACCCAUCAGGACAAACUGAUGUUUAGUUAGCUCACUUCCUCAUUCUGUGCCGCCUGCACCCAGUAAGGGUUUCUUGAGAUAAUGUUGCCUGUAAUACUUCUGGCCAGAAAGAAUGAUGUCAUGUGAUUUCAAGGAACAUAUACAUUUUUUUUUAUUUUUUAUGUCUACAUAAAGACCAGCGGAG